GUCUCGAUAGCUCAAUUGGUAAGAGCAGCGGCGUACCUAGCCGAAGGUCGUGGGUUCGAAUCCCGCUCGUGACA
rnacentral:tRNA from 1 species